GUUUUUUAGUAUAUUUUAAACUUUGUUUAUCAAAUUAUUUUUAAUAAGAACUCUUCCAUGAUCUCGCAAGCAAAAAAGUUUCAAAAUCGGGGCUGCUUAUGAUUGUGAUUCGCUGCCGGAGCCUCCUUUUCUUCCGCCGUCUCUGCCACUCAAGUCUCCAACUUCCGGUACCUCCUCGGCCUAUUGAUUCUGAAUCAUGCACCAACUGCAUCAAAAAUUGCAGUACAAUCAAAUCCUUGAAAUGUGUCCACACUUCAAUUCUCAAAGCCAACCUCCACCUCAACUUGUUCUUUUGCACCACUCUCAUUUCCCAGUAUGCGUCGCUUGGCUCUGUUUCGUACGCCUAUUCUCUCUUCUCUUUGUUGCAAUCUCUUGACGUUUUUCUCUGGAAUGUGAUGCUUCGUGGUUUUGUUGAUGCUGGGUUUUAUCGUAAGGCCAUGCUUCUCUAUGCCCAAAUGCUGGAUUUGGGUAUUCGACCUGAUAAUUUUACGUUUCCAUUUGUUUUCAAGGCGUGUGGGUGUGUGCAGGAUUUGGAUUUUGGGGUUAGGGUUCAUUAUGAUUCUGUGAAUUUUGGGUAUGAGUUGGAUGUUUUUGUUGCGAAUUCACUCAUUGCAAUGUAUGGUAGAUGUGGGCGUUCAGAGCUUGCACGAGAGGUGUUUGAUAAAAUGCCUGAAAGAAAUGUGGUGUCCUGGAGUUCAAUCAUUGGUGCUUAUGCACAAAAUGGUCAAUAUAGUUUAGGAGUGUCGUUGUUUUCGCUGAUGUUGGCUGAAGGAUUUCAAUUAAACAGGUCUGUACUGUUGAAUGUCAUGGCGUGCAUACACUCAGAGAAGGAAGCUGAUGAUGUUUGUCGAAUGGCCAUGGAUCAUGAGCUUGGUUUAAAUCAAUCAGUCCAAAACGCAGCAGUUGGUAUGUAUGCACGAUGUGGAAGAAUUGACACAGCUCAAGAGAUCUUUAAUGGAAUUCAUAGCAAGGACUUGGUGUCGUGGGCGUCGAUGAUUGAAGCUUAUGUGCAGGCUGAUCUUCCCCUGAAAGCUAUGGAGAUUUUUAGAGAAAUGACACUCAAAGGUCUUCUGCCUGAUUCUAUCACCCUUUUGGGUGUAAUUCGUGCUUGUUUAGCUUUAGGAUCUUUUAGCCAGGCGUGUUUCGUACAUGGUUUUGUUAUCCGAAGGCUUUUCGGAAACCAAAUAGUGGUUGAAACUGCCAUUGUUGAUCUCUAUGUCAAAUGUGGAAGUUUAAUAUAUGCCAGAAAAGUUUUUGAUAACAUUAAGGAAAGAAAUGUUAUCUCAUGGAGCACCAUGAUUUCAGGCUAUGGAUUACACGGCCAUGGUAGGAAGGCAAUAUGUCUCUUCAAUGAAAUGAAGAACUCAACCAAGCCUGACCACAUAACAUUUGUAUCAAUAUUAGCAGCUUGUAGUCAUGCUGGUUUGGUUGCAGAAGGAUGGGAUUGCUUCAAUGCCAUGUCUAGAGAUUUUGAGCUGAAACCGGGACCCGAACAUUACGCUUGCAUGGUUGAUCUCUUAGGUCGAGUUGGGAAGCUUAAAGAAGCCUUUGAGUUUAUCUCGAAAAUGCCAAUUAGACCCAAUGCUGGGGUUUGGGGUGCAUUACUUGGGGCAUGUAGAAUACAUUCAAAUGUAGAAAUGGCUGAAGUUGCUGCAAUGAAUUUACUCGAGUUGGACCCGGAGAAUCCUGGGAGGUAUGUUCUUCUGUACAAUAUAUACCUUUCAUCUGGAAAAAGAAAAGAAGCAGACCAAAUUAGAGCUCUUAUGAAACAAAGAGGUCUGAGAAAAAUUGCAGGCCACACGAUUAUUCAGAUAAAAAACAAGGUUCAUACAUUUGUGGCCGGGGAUCGAUCUCAUCCACAAACUGAAAUGGUUUACUCCGAGUUGGAUAAAGUGAUUUAUAGGAUUCAAGAAGAAGGGUAUACCCCUGAUUUGAAUUUUGUAUUACAUGAUGUGGAGGAAGAGACGAAGGAAAGGCUUCUAUAUGUGCAUAGUGAAAAGCUUGCUAUUGUUUUUGGGCUCUUGAAUUCUGGAUCAGGUAGCGUCGUUAGACUACAGAAGAAUCUCCGAGUUUGUGUCGAUUGUCAUACUUUUAUGAAGUUCGUAUCGAAGGUUGCAAGGAGAGAAAUUAUAGUAAGAGAUGCUCGUCGGUUUCACCAAUUUAAGGACGGUACUUGCUCGUGUGGGGAUUACUGGUGAGUUUCAUAUAUAUAGAUGUGCGAUCGGUUGAGGAGGAGAACAAAACAUUUUUUAUAAGAGUGUUAAAACCUCUCCCUAGAGGACGCGUUUUAAAAACCUUAAAGGGGAAGCCCAAAAAGAAAACCCUAAAGAGGAUUGGGCUUGAGCUGUUACAAUGAUACACAGACGGAUGAAAUGCGAUGAACUCCUAAAAACGACGGGUAGUUUGGAUCCGAACAUUGCUUGAUUAGAGUUUUAAGGAGGUGACACUUGUCAUGAGGUGGUUGGAGCUGUUCUACUUCAGGGCCAAUUGACCAGGUCGGGUUUUGGAGUUA